rnacentral:tRNA from 1 species
GCCUUCGUGGUGUAAUGGUCAGCACACUCAGCGCAUAUUCGAAAGGUCCGUGGUUCGAAUCUCGGCGAGGGCA